rnacentral:rRNA from 1 species
GAUGAACGCUAGCGAUAGGCUUAACACAUGCAAGUCGAGGGGCAUCACGAAUUAGCAAUAGUUUGGUGGCGACCGGCGCACGGGUGCGUAACACGUAUACAACCUACCUUCAAUUGGGGAAUAACCUGGAGAAAUUCGGACUAAUACCCCAUAGCAAACGGAAGAGGCAUCUUUUUUGUUUUAAAGAUUUAUUGAUUGGAGAUGGGUAUGCGUAGGAUUAGCUAGUUGGUAAGGUAACGGCUUACCAAGGCGACGAUCCUUAGGGGUUCUGAGAGGAAGGUCCCCCACACUGGUACUGAGACACGGACCAGACUCCUACGGGAGGCAGCAGUGAGGAAUAUUGGUCAAUGGUCGAGAGACUGAACCAGCCAAGUCGCGUGAAGGAAGACGGCUCUAUGAGUUGUAAACUUCUUUUGUACAGGAGUAAAGUGAGACACGCGUGUUUUAUUGCAAGUACUGUACGAAUAAGCAUCGGCUAACUCCGUGCCAGCAGCCGCGGUAAUACGGAGGAUGCAAGCGUUAUCCGGAUUUAUUGGGUUUAAAGGGUGCGUAGGCGGUAUUACAAGUCAGGGGUGAAAUCUUGGUGCUUAACAUUAAAAUUGCCUUUGAAACUGUGGUACUUGAGUGUAAAAGAGGUAGGCGGAAUGUGUUGUGUAGCGGUGAAAUGCAUAGAUAUAACACAGAACCCCGAUUGCGAAGGCAGCUUACUAUCAUACAACUGACGCUGAUGCACGAAAGCGUGGGGAUCAACAGGAUUAGAUACCCUGGUAGUCCCGCAGUAACGAUGAUUACUAGCUGUUAGCGAUAUACUGU